GACCACCACGUUGAUAGGCCGGAGGUCGAAGUCUAGUAAUAGGCGAAGCCGACCGGUACUAAUCGCUCGAUAGAGCUCUAUCGC
rnacentral:rRNA from 1 species